UUGGUGAGAAAGCCUUAUAGUCUAUAUUUUCUUAGUUGACACAGAGUGUCAAUGAUCAUAAGCUAUAUUUUUGAAUUUUAAAAUCUCUUUUUUAUUAUAUUUUUCUUGCAUGUGCAAUAUACUUUUUCAGUUUUUUUAAAUUAUUUUUUCUCUCCUUUUUAUAUUUCAAGCUCAUGUGACCAGCAUUAAGAUUUUCUUUAACUUUUUGACUUUUCAGUACUAUAAAUUUGAAAUACAUUUGUCAGAGCAUGCCCAACAAGCUUGUGACUAUAAAAACGAUGCCACUAAUUAUUUAAAUAAAUGAUGGAACUUUGCUUAAUGAUUCUGUCUGAUUCCAGGACAAGAUAUACAUAACAGAACCAUUGCACAGAGCCAAAGAAAAGCCAAUCCAGGAUGGAUUGAUGCACUUCUAGGCCAAUACAAAGGUCUUGAACCUAGUGUGAAGACUCGAGAUUAUUGUGUUUAAUAUGUUGCUAUGACAUAGGCUUUCCUUGUGUCCACGCUCACUCUGAAGUCACUCUGAAGAUACUCACAGGACAGAGACUGGUAUACAGAAAGUCAAAGCUGGUGACAGUUCUCCUGAUUUUAAGUGCCAUAGAAGAAAUUCAACUGAAAAAGAAAUUUUCCUAUUCUGAUGCUAGAAUGUACCUCAGCGAUGAUCUACUGGGUUUUUAAACUUUUUAUAUCAUGGACCUUUUUUGAAGUCUGCUGAAACCUAAGAACUGCUCUUUAGAAUAUUGUAUUUAACACAAAAUAAAGUAUAUAAGAUUUGAAGGAAACCA
rnacentral:lncRNA from 1 species